rnacentral:rRNA from 1 species
UACGUAGGGAGCAAGCGUUGUCCGGAAUCCUUGGGCGUAAAGCGCGCGUAGGUGGCCUCGUAAGUCCGUUGUGAAAGUCAAAGGCUCAACCUUUGAAAGCCGAUGGAUACUGUGAAGCUAGAGUACGGAAGAGGCGAGUGGAAUUCCUGGUGUAGCGGUGGAAUGCGCAGAUAUCAGGAGGAACACCAAUAGCGAAGGCAGCUCGCUGGGACGUUACUGACACUGAGGCGCGAAAGCGUGGGGAGCGAACAGG